CACCCUACGGGACGCAGCAGUGAGGAAUAUUGGUCAAUGGGCGGGAGCCUGAACCAGCCAAGUCGCGUGAGGGAAGACGGUCCUACGGAUUGUAAACCUCUUUUGCCGGGGAGCAACGGGGUCCUUGCGAAGUCCCAAUGAGAGUACCCGGAGAAAAAGCAUCGGCCAACUCCGUGCCAGCAGCCGCGGUAAUACGGAGGAUGCGAGCGUUAUCCGGAUUUAUUGGGUUUAAAGGUGGCGUAGGCGGGCUGUUAAGUCAUCGGUCAAAUGUCGGGGCUCAACCCCGGCCUGCUGUUGA
rnacentral:rRNA from 1 species